ACUCAAAGGAAUUGACGGGGGCCCGCACAAGCAGUGGAGUAUGUGGUUUAAUUCGAAGCAACGCGAAGAACCUUACCAGGGCUUGACAUCCCUUGACGAACCUAGAGAUAGGUUUUCCCUUCGGGGCAAGGAGACAGGUGGUGCAUGGUUGUCGUCAGCUCGUGUCGUGAGAUGUUGGGUUAAGUCCCGCAACGAGCGCAACCCCUGUUGUUAGUUGCCAGCAUUAAGUUGGGCACUCUAGCAAGACUGCCGGUGACAAAUCGGAGGAAGGUGGGGACGACGUCAAAUCAUCAUGCCCCUUAUGUCCUGGGCUACACACGUACUACAAUGGCUAUUACAGCAGGAAGCCAAAGAGCAAUCUGGAGCAAAUCCUCAAAAAUAGUCCCAGUUCAGAUUGUGGGCUGAAACUCGCCCACAUGAAGUCGGAAUUGCUAGUAAUGGCAGGUCAGCAUACUGCCGUGAAUACGUUCCCGGGCCUUGCACACACCGCCCGU
rnacentral:rRNA from 1 species